GGCGCUGUGGCUUAGUUGGUCAAAGUGCCUGUCUAGUAAACAGGAGAUCCUGGGUUCGAAUCCCAGCGGUGCCU
rnacentral:tRNA from 1 species